CGGGCCGGGAGGGGGCGCCCGGGGUGCGGGCGCGGGCGCGGGCGCGGGGGGCGCCGCCGUGACCGUGGCCGCCAUGGAGCGCACGGCCGAGCCCGCGGCCCUCCGCCCAGCGAAGCCGCCCUCCCUGGCCUUGCGAACAAAGACUCGGGAAGUUGGGAAGGGAAUCUUUCCCGACAUUUUCGUCCCCCUCUCCACCUCCGCCACCCUCGGCUGCUGGGUCUGGGCGGCGGCCAUCAGGGCUCUUAAAGGGGACAGAAGCUCGCUCUGGUUUUCUCUGUCCUCCGGUCUUGCUCGACCCCCACCCGCGUUGGCCGGAGUAGAAGAAGGGGGCACCUUGCCGCUCCAGCUUUCAGGUGUUAAGCACCACCCCCACCCCCACCCAUGUCCGGGCCAGCCUGGGGCUGCAAGCGGAUCAGGGCCUGUGGGGUAAGAGACCCCCGCAGCCAGGGGACACAGCCCUGGACCCCCGCCGUGUUGACCCCGGCCACUGCCAUGCCAGGGGGUCCUGGGCGCUUCUGAUCCUCCCCUUCUGCUUGAGCUGCCUCCCUGUGGCCCUCCAGAGUGGACCCCCAGUUGCCACCAGCUCUCCCCAGCGCCCACCGUGCUCUGCCGGGAGGCUGCUGCGCCCAGGCAACAUCAGUGCCAAGUGCAGUGGUUGGUUUGGGGGACACAACCUCGCAGCGUGGUCAGGGCCUGAGGGACGGGGUUGGCCUGGGCCCUGUGGGGCCUUGUCCCCGGGAAGCAGGGCUAGGGACACUGUGCCCCCACUGGCUUCUGCCCACAGGCCUAGGCCCCCUCGGGCCAAUUUCUCUGCACCUUCCUCCUCCAUUUGCCUGAGACAAGGCCCCCUGUGAGUGGCUUGAUCCCUGGGGGACACCUAGGCAGUGGGUGGUGGCAGAGCGUCCUAGACCCCCAGAGCAGUGCCCGGCCUCUGAGGCUCUGAGGUUGACUACCACCCGUUUCCCCCUGUCCCAGGCCAGAUCCCCCAAACCCCAGCAGGGAAGGCCUGACUGGGCCUGCUCUUGCCCGUGGGCCAGUUCCCAACCUUCCAGAGGCCAUGGCUAAGGUCACUUCCAUCUCCAGGACACCUGGACCCCAGUGUCCCCUCCACAGAAGGCCAUGAAUGGAAAAGGCCUGGGCUGGUCCAGGGGCUGUACCGGUCACUGCCCUCAGCACCCUGGACAUUCCAGCAGGGGCCUCGAGUGGACAGUCUACAGGGAUCUGGUGGGGUGCAGUGCAGAGUCUGGGGGACGGUGGGAACAGAGAGCCCAGACCUGCCCUAAGAGGAGGCCUCGUGUCAACUCUGGCCACUUGCUGCCCAGCGGGUAAAAGCCUCUGGUUCCAGAGCUUCUGGCUGUUUGGGGGAAGGAAAUCUAGAUUUGUGCACAGGAUGCCCAGAAUCUGAAAACCCCAAAUGCAGGACAGAGGAAACGCAUCCCUGGGGUGAAGCCAGCCCGUGGCCCCCUGGGUUGCAGCCCCUGUGUCCCCGUGAGCUGUUUAGUGUUUAAGGGGGGGCAGGUUUCUUAGAGAACCCAGCCCCAACCCAAGCUAUGACAAGGAAGCCCUGUAGAUCUGGGGUGCAGGGAAGGGGGAGUUUGUGCCUCAUUUAUUUCUCAUCUCAAAGGAGUCACCUCCAUAUACUGAGUCAUUCAGUUGGCUGAAGCUGGUUUGUCUCUUUAAGACCCGAUCUGCUUAACUGAACUGUUCUGAAAUUAAAAUCUUCCUAAACUGAAGUACCCAGUCCUCUGGGCAACCUGCCUGUCCACUCGAGCUGGGCCCCUGGUGCUCUGCAAGUGAGGAAGGAGAGGCAGGGUGCAGAAAAUGAACCUGAACUUGAACUUUCUUAUGUCCCAGGCAAUUAAGCCACUGCUGCUGCUGGUUAAGAUAGCCUGGGUGUAUUGCAACGAGGGUCAGCUCUUUUGUGAGGCAGGCCUGCACUUAGACCCUUGUCUUGUGAUGGCUGGAUGACCCUGGGCCAGUAAUCUAACCUCUCUGAGCCUCAACUUCCUCACUCAUAAAGUGGGCUAAAUAGCAGUUCUGAUUCAGUGGAGUCCUGGGGGAGAGUUGUGACAGGCGUGUGACUGCUCAGCGUGGCUUGAGCAUGCGGAGGCACCCGGUAAAUCUAGCUGCUGUUAUUUGAGGUGGACUGUGGCUUCCUGCUUCUCUAAGACUGCACCUACUUCUGGGGCAGCUUCUCAAAUCUCGUAUCAACUCUCAACUGCUUGCUUCUCCCCACUUUUUGUGUUUCUUUUCUUACCCCUAAAGAAACCAUCACCGAGCCACUCCCUUGUGUUUAUAGCCCUGUGCUGGAUACAGCGGGUCAAGCAGCGAGUCUGACAUAGGCCCUGCCUUGAGAAGCUGCAGGGUGCCCUGUGCAACUGUAACACCAGGUUGAGCCUCUCUCAGCUGACUUGCUGUCCAGAGAAGGUUGUUUUCUGCAAUGCUCCUGUUGCUGGCUGUGCAGUCUUUGUUGAAUGCCCCCAGGGGUGAGCAGCUCACUACCUCUUUAGCAGUGUUUCUGUAGAAGCUGUCAGAGGAAGCCUCCUAGAAGGCUCUUAGGAGCCUUCACUGGUAGGACCAGAGGGAGACAGGACUGCAGCAGUGGUUCUGGGUCCAAGGCAUUUGGUUUUCCUGGGGAAAACACACACCUGGAAAGAAGGCCCUGAAAACUUGGCGAGAUGCUGAUUCUCAGUCUCCAGGGAAAGCACCGCACGUGAUCGGUGCACGUUUUUGCAGAACAGAGCCCUGUUUCCUAUUUUUGCCAAUAGUAUGUGCUGCAAGGAGAGGCAGAAGAAAAGGGCCAUGGAGUGGGGACUAAGACAAACCGAGGGCAGAAAGCUGGCCGCUGCCCGCGAGCAGGCAGCUGGAAAGUGUGGGGAGGCUCGAGGCCCCGGGUCCCUCGCUGGGGCUGGCUGCAGCGGUGUCAGUCGCUUGUCGUGCCCGACUCUUUGCCACCCCGUGGACUGUGGCCCAAAGGCUCCUCUGUCUGUGGGAUUCUCCAGGCAAGAAUACUGGAGUGGGUUGCCCUUCUCUUCUCCAGGGGACCUUCCCGACCCUGGCAUUGAACCUGGGCCUUCUGCAUUGCAGGCAGAUUCUUUACUUCCUGAGCCACUAGGGAAGCCCAACAUCGGUGCAGAACCCAGUGCAAAAUUUAAACUUGAAAGUAUUAAGAAUUUCAGGACGGUGACAGCAGAGCAUUAAAGCAAGUAUGGGAGCUUCGGAAUGCAGGGCCUUGCUGAGUGUGGGGCCCUGUGUGGCAGAGGCCACAGACCGCCCUCCCCUCCGCCCCCCCGCCCCAAGCUGGCCCGGCUCCCUGCACGUGUUCUUGCCGCGUGCGGAGGGCCGGGGAGGGCCUGCCGGCAGCUCUAUUGAAGGAGCAUGACUCUUCUCCUGCGAUGAUUUUUUUUUUUCCAUCCCUGAUGUUACAUGCUAAUUUUAGAACUUUUUGAAUCCUCAUAAAAGAAGAAAAGAAGUCUUCAAUCACCUGUGAAACCACCCUCAGAAAUAGCCAGUGGGAACAGUUCAUCUAGCUUCUGUGAAACAUGAUUUUAAGCAGACCGAGCAUCUUAGCACCUGAUUAUAUGGAUCAUUUUGUCUUCUGCUUGUUUCACCAAGUAUUUGAUCCCAACUCCUUCUGCAAGUCAGAAGAUGCUUUUCUGCAAGUUGGUUUUCAACGACUGUUUAAUAUUCCGUUGCUGAAGCCCCUUACGGGCUCAGUCGCUCAGCCGUGUCCGACCGUCUGUGACCCCAUGGACUGUAGCCCGCCAGGCUCCCCUGUCCAUGGGAUUUCCCAGGCACGAAUACCUGAGUGGGUUGCCAUUUCCUUCUCCAGGGGAUCUUCCCGACCCAGGGAUCAAACCCACGUCUCCUGUGUCUUCUGCGUUGGCAGAGGGACUCUUUACCACUGAGCACCCGGGGAAGCCCCGAAGCUCUUUAACUAACCCCUUAUUACUGGACACUUUGGUGGCUCAGAGGUAAAAGCGUCUGCCUGCAAUGUGGGAGACCUGGGUUCGAUCCCUGGGUCGGGAAGAUCCCCUGGAGAAGGAAAUGGCAACCCACUCCAGUAUUCUUGCCUGGAGAAUGCCAUGGACGGAAGAGCCUGGUGGGCUACCGUCCACGGGGUCGGAAAGAGUCGGACACGACAGAGCAACUUCACUUUCACUUUCACUUUGGUUAUUCCCAAUUAUUUCCGGUUUUUUGUAUUGUUUGGGGAAUGUCUGUGUGCCCACUGGGGCUUAUUUCCUAAGAGAUAGAAGGCUGUUAGGAGAGACUUUCAGGUUCCAGAAGCCUUUGGAGGUUGUCUGAAAUUCCACCUUGGCCAGGGGCUCAGCCCCCAGCACCUGCACAGCAACAGUACUGAGGGGAGGGCCUGCUGGACCCUCUUUUGACUUUUAGACUUAGCCCUUGCCGGAGCUGACUCGACCGGGCAGUGGUGAUCACACACGGCACGGCUGCCCCGCGAGGGGCUGUGACCAGCCCCCUUCACAGAAAAGGCCAGAGGCACUGGCCCGGGGCUUCCUGCCUGUCCUGUGCUGAGAAGGCCACGUCUGUGAUGAUGAAGCAGGAAGCGGUCCCUCUCCCCAGCAGACUCCUGGGACGAUCUGGGGGUCCAGGCUGCCUAGAACCCCAAGGCUGUCAGGCUGGGGGCAGAAUGAGACAAGGUUUAGCGAGGUGCCCACUCGUGGGCGACGUGCAGUAAGAGGUGACCAGGAGGAGGAGGAGGUGGGGAGUAGAAGGAGGGGGAGCCAGGAGGUGAGGUUACAGCCCCUCGGGCGAGGAGGGCUCUCAGAGCAACCCGCCACCCACCCUAAGGCUCCUGAGCGCAGGAGUGAGGUCUGCUGACCCCAGCCCAGCGCUGCCUGGCGCCGCAGAGCUCCGUGUGUGCAGUGAAUGGGCCGCACCCCCAGGGUCUCCUUCGGAGGCACCUGGGCUUGCUGGGGGCAGGGUGGGGCGUAACUUUCCUGGUGCUGCCGUGACAAAGUACACUGAUCUGAUGUCUCAAGCGGUCGGAGGUUAUGGAGGCUGAAGUCCGCAGUGUCUCCUGGGCCUCAGAUCAGGUGGGGGCAGGAUUGCCUUCUUCUGGAGGCUCCAGAGGAAAAUCCGUUUCCUGGCCUCUUCCAGCUUCUGGAGGUGCCCGCAUUCCUUGGCUCAUGGCCCCUUCCUUCAUCUUCAGAGAGAGCGGCGUGUUGCUUUCUCUGAUGGUAGCUGGGAAGGAGUUCUGUUGUCAGCUUGUCCCCACCUGGAUAAUCCAGCUGCUCUCCCAGCUCCAGGCCUUUAACUUCAUCACUUCCAGAGUGGAUUCAGACUGUUUUGGAUUUAUUCCUGGGUUGCGGAGCUUCCUGCCUGAGGCUGCUCCGGCUCCAGGCUCUUGUCCACCUCAAAGGCAGAGGAUCUGGGGACUCUGGCAGCUUCUGUGCCAAUUUGGGAGCUCCCCUUUCUCUUCCUCAGCCCUGUGGGGCAGGCACAGUGGGCACUGCUAUCAUCCCCAUUUUACAGAUGUGCAAACAGAGGCCCAGACAGGCCAGAUAACUUGCCCAAGGCCAUACAGCUGGCAAGGGGCAGGGCUGAACCUUGAUGAUGGCUGGACCUUAAACUAGGGAUCCAGGGGGCCUACCACUUGCUUCCAGGAAUGUGGUCUUUCUCAGCUCUCAGACAUAGUUCAUGAUUCUUUCCAGAAGGGUGGCGAGGCUUCCUGCCCUGUUUUCAGUAUAGGCCACUGCUGUAGGGGACAGAAGGGCCUUGGGGCAGCCCUGGGCAGGGGGCUUAUCUGAGUGUGGAGGGAUCUGGGGGGGUUCACGGUGGGCAGGGCCUCACUGCAGGCUGCAUGUCGGUAGGGAGGGUCAGGGUGCCGAGGGCAAAGGACAAGUGGUCCCAGAGCUCUUCACAGGCCAGUGCCCUGCCGGGGGCUUUGGGGCGUCCUUCCCCGCCACCGGCACAGAGCCGAGCCACUCGGGACAAGAAAAUGAGGAAGAGGAUGUUCCGCGGGCCUCCUUUGAAGCUGGGGUGGCUCAAGGGCGGCCGAGGGUGUGCCUCACCCAGGCCUGGACCCUCCCCACCACCGCCUGCUGCCGCCGCCUCCGCACCGGGCCUGGCCUGGCAUGGGAGGAGUUAAGCCGCCGCGGGCACCUUGGCACGUCGUGCCGCCCAGAACGUCCAGCUCCCCACCCCCACUGCUUUUCUUCCCUUUUUGCCUUUUUUCCUUCUUAAUUAAUCAUACGCUACUGCCCAAUUUAAAUAUGGAAAUGCCCAGGCCAGGCAAGGCAAUUAUUCCUCCGGCCAGGCGGGCUGUCCGGGCGGGCCCUGGGCUGCGGGGAGCAUGGUGGCAUCGCCCCCUUUCUGAUGCGUGUGAAAUUACGUGCACAAAAGGCGUCUCCUCAUCUGAGUGUGUGAACUAAAUAAAUAAAUAAGGGCUUUUGUUUGUUUGCCGGCUCCUGCACAUGACUGUUUUGACUAAACCGCUCGUGUUGUCUGUGCCUUUAUGGGACUCGGGAGACGGGGGCCGGGGGUGGGGGGGGCGGCCGGCGGGCAUCUGGGCCUCUCUGUCCCCCGGCACCAGCGCACCCCCGCCCCUCCCCGCACACACACCCUCACAGGAAAGUUCCCCAGCCCGGGCCGGGCUCCCAGGCAGCUUGGCGCCAUGCCAGGCUCGCCGCCGAGCGCGGGCAGCCGGGUGGGGUGAGCAGCGGCGACACUGAGGACGUGGCCGGGCACCCUGGGCGCCAGCAGGACCCAAGGCCCGGAGGCCGGGGCCCAGAAGGUACCAUCCUCGGCUAUGGUGACCCCCACCCAAGGUGUGAGCCUGGGAGCGGCCGGCCUCCUCCGCCGGACCAACUCGGUGACGAGCCUGCUGUCGCUGGUGGCCUUCGGUGCGGACCCACUGUGUGCCUGCCAGGCUCUCGGGAACUCCACAUUCGUGUGCUCAGACAGACAUCAGCUUUGGAUGGUAGGUAUAAAUGGCUGCUUCUGAAGAUACAGAAAGGAGGCCUCGAGAGGCCAGGCUUCACAGCCCAGAAGGUCCUCUGUGGCUCUGAUUGGCUCUGGAGCCUCGGCUUCUCCCCUGGGCUGGCACCUCUGCCCCCAGAUGCUGUGUCUUAGAAGCCUGCACUCACCGGCACCCUGCCCACACUGCCUUGCCCUGGGAGCCGUCAGCCUCCCAAGGCCCUCCUGGAGCUGUCUCGGCCACAGUGGGGUGGCAGAGUGGGGCACGCACCCCCGGUCUGUGCAUCUGGGACCCCCCCCCCCGGCGAGGGCGGUGCUGAAAAACGUGGCCCGCAGGCUCGCCUGCCGACCUCUGACCCCUCCUGCCCUGUCUCAGGCCCCUCCGAGGGCUUGAGUCCUGGCACAGUGCCACCUAGGGUGCCCGCAGCACCUCUGCCCACGGUUUGUUAGCACUCGGCGUUUCCAGGAAGGACGUUUCUCCCACACAUGGCCUCUGAGAGGGGCCGGGUGGGCUGCUGCAGGCGCGUGUGCCCAAGGCAGGGCUGAGCCCCCGGGGGUGCUGCGUGCCGUGGGUCUGAGCCCUCAGUUUGGCCGACGGGAGUUCCUGCCGGUGGCUCAGAGCCUCCCGCCCCGGGGCCUGCCCACAGCUGUGUCCAGUCAGGCCCAGCCCUGGUGGGUCGGCCAGCUGUCAGACGAGAGGCUGCAGGCGCCAGAGUGGCCGUCUGUGGCCUGGAAGGCGCAUGGAGGGUCAGCGGCGGGUGCGCACUCUCUGCAGUCUCUGGUCUCUGGGGAAAUCCUAGGAGGGGAGCCCCAUUGCUGCCCGUUUGUCGCAGACGAGGAGAUGGAGGCCCGGGGAGCCCGAGGGGCCUGUCCAGGGUGGCAAGCACAGAGCUGAGGUGGAGCCCUGUGGCCCCGGCCCCCGUGGGUGGACGCAGGAGUGUGCCAGUAUCCAGGGAUGCUCGGGGGCUGGGGGGGGCGGGGAGGGCCUUCCGGCACCCCGCUGGGCCUGGUGCUGGUGCCAGCAGGCUCCGCUGGCCUCCGUGGGCCAGGAGCUUCCAGAGGACAAAACUGCCUCUGGACAGAGGACCUGCCCCCGAGCGACCCCUCCGUGGGGCAGGGGCUCUGAGAGCCGCGGGCCCCUGUGGGAUUCCAGGGCUGAGAGGGAGAGCCUGAGUGCGAGCCAGCCUGGGGUUUGGGACUUUUCCUCCUGUUGCCCGUGAUGUCACAGCCCUGCAAGGGGGACGGGCUGUCCCGUAUCGUGGGGGAGGAAGCUGGGCCGGAGAGGGGCAGUCCUGUGCCUGGAGUCACACAGAGUGAAGAGGCGGUGGGUCUGACUGACUCUCCUGCCUUCCCAGUCCCCGCACAAAACAGGGGCUUGUGUCCCCAAGGGGCCUCAGCUUGCGGUUCACUCGUGACCCCGAGACAGGCUGAGGCCCCUGGCCACCCUUCUAGCUCAGCAUGUGGGCCGGCCCAUCAGGAGAGGCUCAGGCCCUCCCCGGGGCCACUCUGCACUCCCAGGACAGCCUUAAAGGCUCCGAGGGCAGGUGACAUGCCGUGGGUGUAACCCAGGAACACAGGACUGUGAGGCGCAGAGGGUGAGGAUUGCUGCCCGAGGGAGGUGGCUCUGCCUGGCACCUCUGUGUGCAGAGCGCCGGGCCGGGGAGCCCGGCGGUCAGCCAGCCUGGUGGUUCCGUGGGCGAUGCUGGGCGGGUGGGUGAAAGGAUUCAGGGGUGCUGAGUGCCCAGAGGGAGGGCCGCCUGUAAAUGCUGCUGUGAAGGGCGCCCUGGCGCCAGAAAAGUCCAGCGGGUGGCUGUCCCUGUGAGCUUUCUGGCUGUGGCCGCAUGCCACUCCUGCGACGCUCAGCCAUCCAGCCAGGGUCCCUGGGCCGUCCCCGGGCCUGCAGCGGGAGCUCCCAAGCUCUCGGGUGGAAACGGCAGCCCCAGGUGUGCGCCUCUGGCUGGUUCUCCCCUGCUGAAGGCGGCCUUGUGCCCUUUCACUUCCCAGCUCCUGUGCCCUGGAGGUCCAACUUCUGAUGCCAACAUCCACAGAGAAAUACUGACCUGGGCUGUCUGCAAAAACCGGGGUCUCGGCCGCUGGGCCGAGGGCAUUCACUGUGGCCCACGGUGGAGCCCUCUGGCUGCGGCCGGGCCACAUUCGCUGUCCAGAGGGAAGACUGGGUGUGUUGCUGUCAGCGCCCCGAGUUGGUGGAGGGUCCUCGACCCGUGGGGGCCCGGAGCUGCUGCCCCGUUGCUCCAGGGAGGGCGUUGGGGCCCCCCGAGCCCAGGGGCCACACGGGGGGGCUGUCACGUGGACCUCCUCACUGGGCAGCGGGGGUUCGCUCAGCCCACCCUGCUGGGGGGUGGGCAGGAGGGCCGUCCCUUCUGGAGGCGGGGUAGGUGCUCCCCGCUCCCAUAAAUAGGACCGUAGGGAUGGGCCUGCUGGUCCAGUGGCUCAGACCCCGUGCUCCCCGUGCUGGGAUCCCUGGUCAGGGAGCCAGAUCCCACGUGGCCGCUGCUAAAGACGCUGCACGCUGCAGCGAAGGUGGCAGACCCCGCGGACCACACCCUGGCCCAGCCACACACGUGUUGAAACCAACAGGACGGUGGUGGGCUCGAGGCUGGCAGCCCACGCAGGCGGCAGCGGCCAGGCCUGGGCUGACCGCCCGGCCCCGCGCUUCUCUCGGAAUCUGCUCGGGGCUCCGGGGCACAGACCUUGGCGCCCCAUCCCACAGUCGGGGAGAGGGUUCCGUGAGAGCCUGGGCAGCGAGCGAGCAGGAGUCAGGACGAGAGCCAGUGCUGUGCGAUGCGGGGUCCUGCACCCGUGCCACAUGUAGGUCGCAGGCGGUGGGCUCCCAGGGCCCUACCUCUGUCUCCAGAGAGGGGGUGACCUUGGCACAGCCUCUGAGGCAUCGUAAGGCCUGGGCACAUCCCAGGGAAGCCGCCACCAGGUCCCCUGUGGACCCUGAGGGCCUUACACGUCCCACACGUGUCCCGCGACAGUCAGAGUCAGAGGCACUGCUGCAGAGGAGGGCGCCGAGCUGCUCCAUGCCCCGGACCCACACGGCUCCCACCUGUCCACAAGGAGCACGGCCCCAGCCCUCAGGCGACAGGCGCUCCCGAGAGGACCGGGUCUGUGGGAGCCGCACCCUUGCGCCUGGGCGCAGGGAGGCCCCGGUGUGCUCCUGGGGACGGGGCGCCCCAACCCACCAUCGUCCCGGCCACAGCCUCCCACUGGGCCUGGCUCAGAGACUCCAGAAGGAGAGCCCUGGGCGUCUGUCCCCGGCCUGGCCCGAGGCUCACGGCCCAGCAGAACGCCCAGUCGUGGCGGGUGGGACUGCGUCUGGGUUUGCCUUUUUGUCGGCACAGAGGAUGUGCCGUCCCUGCUCUGGGAGCGCCGUGUGCCUCCUGCGGCCUGAGCCCAGGCUGGGCGGGAGCAGAAGGCUGAGCCUGGGCUGCCGUCGGCCGAGUGCCGGCUUCCGGGUCUCUGCCCGGCCUUCUGGUCCUUGGGGUGCCCUGGACAGUCAUCCUAGGGUGUCCCCGUACUGGCACCUUCGGGAAGGACACAAAGUCACAACUGCACCGUCUCUUCCCAGGUAGCAGGCGUGGUUCUGAGGGUGGUGGUGUCCAGUUGCUAAGAUUCUCUGUGACCCCACAGACUGCAGCAUACCAGGCCUCCCUGUCCUUCACCAACUCCCGGAGCUUGCUCAAACUCAUAUCCAUAGAGUCGGUGAUGCCCAUCCAACCAUCUCAUCCACUGUUGUCCCCUUCUCCUCCUGCCCUCAGUCUUUCCCAGCAUCAGGGUCUUUUCCAGUGAGUCAGUUCUUCACAUCUGGUGGCCACAGUAUUGGAGCUUCAGCUUCAACAUCAGUCCUUCCAGUGAAUAUUCAGUUGACUUCCUUAGGAUUGACUGGUUGGAUCUCCUCACUGUCCAAGGGACUCUCGAGUCUUCUCCAGCACCACAGUUUGAAAGCAUUAGUUCUUCGGUGCUCAGCCUUCUUUAUGGUCCAGCUCUCACAUGCAUACGUGUACUGGAAAGACCACAGCUGUAACCACACAGACCUCUGUCGGCAGAGUGAUGGCUCCUUAACAUGCUUGUCUAGCUUUGUUGUAGUUUUUCUUCCAGAGAGCAAGCAUCUUUUAAUUUCACGGCUGCCAUCACCAUCUGCAGUGAUUUUGGAGCUCGAGAAAACAGAUUCCGUGGGGGCAUUUGCAGGCCUCCUGGGUGCUGGGCACCAUGCUGGGCGUGAGGGCCACACAGCUGCUAAGAGGUGGUCUCUGCCAGGCUCAGGAGCUGGAGCCUGAGGGGGGACAGGUAGCAAGAGCAUCUGUGAGCUGAUUUCAAGGGACCGCCGCCUAUUGCUGGAGCUGACCCCAUUGCUCCUGACGCAGGUGGCCCCCUGGAGGAGGUGACCUAAAGGAUGGGUAGGAAUUAGGCCUCUGAUGGCAGAACUGGCCCCAGGUGCCAGCUGGUGGGUGCCAAGGCAGGGCCAGAGUGAAGAGGGUGGGGCUCCACGACGUGGCAAACUCACCAGCCGCCUUCCUCUGCAGAUUCUGGAGGAUGUGCGCGGCUGGGCUGCGAGGGAGCCGGUGGGUGGGUUUGCUUCUGAGCGCGAGUCUCAUACCAGGAGGACGACGGGGCAGUCAGACUGACAGGAGAGGUUUCUCGGUGAGGCCCUCUGCCUCUAAGGCCCCCGGUCUCUGGGUGUGGAGGCGCCUCCUCAGCAGUGCGCGGAGGGCCGGGCGACCUGCAGGUGCAGUGUCAGACGGGGUGGAGUGGACGAGGGCAGGGGCAGAGGCCCGCUGAGCCCCUCCGUGCUUGGGCUGUGAGCCGCCAGACCUGUGGGGCUGACUCCUCGCUCACUUUGUUUCUUGUAGAACGUGGCUGAGCACCUCCGGCAAACUGGACGCCUGUCGUGGCCUUCGAAGACGCUCCAGCACCACGUGGCCGGUCCUUGCCCCGUGUCUGGCUGGCAGGGCAGCCCAGGAGGCCUCAUCCCUCAUCCCUCCGCCUGGACGCCUCGGUCCUCAGCUGAUGCCUGGAGCUCGGAUGGCUGUGCCCGCCUCAGGUCAGGGAGCGUGCGAAUGUUGGAACUCAGAGCUCCCCACCCGCUCCGACCGGCGCCACCCUGGACUGGGUAUGUCUGAGGGAACACAGACGUGCAGCACAUGCCCGUGUGUGUUGAGGGGGUGGUCACCGGGCCAGACGGCAAUUCUCGCCACUUGCUCGGGUUCAGCUGGGAGUGCGCUCCCCGCCACCUGCUCUGCCCUCCCACCAGCCUCUUUCUGUGGCCCAGGGUCCAGGGUGAGUACGAGGUCAGGGGCUUGCCGAGGUCUCCCCCAGGCAGCUCGACUCGGGGCGUGUUCCUGGCUGGCCCCGGUAUGUAUGGUGGAUGAAGCCCACUUGGCAAGGAGGCAGCCGCUGUAGGAGGGUCUGGGCUGCGAGCGGGGGACUGGUAACCUCUGGGCAGAGCUCGGGGCUCAUUGCGUCAGGAUGUCCCACCCUGCCCCUCUUGGCCCCGUGCCUUGAGGGAGCUGUCGUGCUCCAAGUUUGCCGGGCCCCCGGCCACACCUUGCCCCUCCCAGGAGCCAGCCUGCACUGCCAACUGUCGGGCCGCCUUGGCUGCUGCCAGCCUCCUAGAGGGUCACGGGGUCCGUGAGGGUCAGGGCCGGACUGUCGGCCUCUCCCUCUGCCCUGCCUGGUGCCAUGGCCCAGGACGGGCCUGCCUCCCAGGUCUGCCUGGAGAGGGCCCGGGACCCCUCUGCCAUCUGGGCCUCGCGUGUUUACAGGCCCAGCCUGCCCGCCAGACUCCGCAGACGCGGCCCCAGGGCUUUUGUGUCUGCACGCAGAGCCUGCACCAGCCGCUGCCUGAGGGCGGGGAGGGGGCGGCCCCCCUGGGGGACAUCAGGGACGGGGGAAAGAGAGACCUGGCGGGAGUGUGACAGCAGAGGAGAGAGCAAAGGGGUGGAGGCAGAGAGCAGGCCAGGCCCGGGGAAGGGCGACGCCAGAGCGAAGGACCGGGGGCCGCCAGGCCGUCCCCGGGGAGACAGGGCCGCGGGCUCCGCUCACGGCUGUCCAGUGCGGCCCUCUCCGGGGCACUCCCUGUGGACUCCCCCCAGCCUCCCAGCGGAGACCCGGCCCUGAGAGCUGGGUCCAACACCUGGGCUGGGGCACCAGUGUGCCCCUGGGACCGACCGCCGGGGCCUGGCAGACACGCAGGAGGCCGUGAGGGCACGUCCCUGAGUGUGUGCGGGGCACACGCCCUGCUUCUGCGCCCCGUCGGCUUUGGCCCACCCCAGCCCAAGACUCCACAAGGCCUGGCCCAGCUCAGGGGCAGCCAGAUCCUCUCGGGGCACCACGGGCCAGGAGAACCUCGAGGAUCUGGAAUUCCCCCGGGGCAGGGGUCGCUGAGGGACCCUUUUUCCAGGCCGUGACCCCAGACACCCAGCAAUCUCAGGCUCAGCACGUACAGCUUCUCAACGUGGCUCUGCCAUGGGGUGCUGGGCCCUCCACACAGGCCUGCGUGUCCUGUGGACCCACAUCCAUGCAAACCCCUAAAGAGCCAGCAGGGCAGCCUCUAUCCACAGGUCCCCAGGGCGCCAGGGAGAACAGGGACAAUUCCCUGCAGAAAACCGGCCACCAGUGGUACUGACUGGGCCCCACGUGGCUCCCGCCCAGCAUGGGUGGAGCACCAGGGUGGGCAUAGGGAAAGAAGCCAGGGCGCUGCCUGGGACCCAGACCUGGACACAGGCCCUGCCUGGCUCUACACGUGCCCGUCUCCAUCAGAGCACAGGCCCGGCUGUGCCCCCAGAUGUGUGGGUAGCGUCUCCCCUGCUGGCUGCAGCGAGGUCCGUGCUGACCCCCUGGACCUGUCUGCCAUCUUUAAAGUGAGACUGGUCUCCAUCCUGGGUUUUCCCUCUGCAGGAGCAGGGAGUGGCAGUGGCCGGACUCGGCGCCCAGAGCAGGGUUGCUGGGCUCUGCCUUACGUCUGGGGUUCUGAAGCAGGCACUGGCUGACCGGGGGAGAGAGACGCUCCUCUCGUCCAGAGGAAGCGGGGAAGGGGCUCCCCAGAAGGGACAUGAGUCAGGCAAGCAGGACAGGAGUCUUGAGGCGCCAGAGGAGGCCGGGGCUGUUGUGGGCGGCUCUGCCCGGGUCAGGCAGGGUCUCAGUGCUGCAGGCCGUCAGGAGAGCUGAGGCUGCACACCCCUGGGGUGCUUCCUGGCAGCUGCCCCUGUGCCCCCUUCCCCCUGCACUGGACAGGCAGGAGGCGCCAGCCUGGACCUCGGUGGGGUGGCUGUGCCGGGUGUCCCUAGGAGGCAGGAGAGCCCCUCAGGCCACUUGGUCAGAGGCGGCCCCAAACCUCAGGCCAGUGAGGACCCAGACCCCGUGAGGCAUCCCUUCCGGGGGCCACCCAAGGGCAGUAGGGCCUCUGGCGGCCGGGUGACCGGGAGCUCCGGCCGGAGGAGGGUCCUGGACGCCGCGGCCCGGCCGCUUCCCGAGUGGACGGCCGCCUCCUGCCGCGGGCGCCCGGCCCUCCGCGCCGCCGCCUUCGUCUUCCCAGAGCCGCACAAGAUGGCCGCCGCCCCCGCCAUUUUGUGACGAGGCCGCGGCCGGCCGGCCCCGCGCGCCUGGCCCGCGCCCAGCCCAGCCCGGCCCUGGCCGCGGCCGCCCCGGGCUUGGCACCGGCCGGCGUCUUGGCGAGGCGUCUGGGAGCCUCGACGGAGCAGCCCGCCGCGCGGGUGGAGACGCUGCCCGCCAGCGCCCGGGAGCGGCGCCGAAGGGAGGGCCGUGCCCCGAGGGGGGACCUCGCAGCCGCGGGCCGCUCCACAGACCCCGGGCUCGCGGGGCCCCCGGCGCGCCGCACACGGAGGCAGGCCUGCGUGGGCC
ensembl:lncRNA